UACUUGAUUUUGACCAUCCUAAUUGGAUAACUGCGUUAAUUUUGGAGCUAAUACAUGCAAAGAAGCUCUGAGACUUGUUCGAAGAGCGCAUUUAUUAGAUCAAGACCAAUCGGGGCAACCCGUCUUUGGUGACUCUGAAUAACGUAGCUGAUCGCAUGGUCUCGUACCGGCGACAGGUCAUUCGAGUGUCUGCCUUAUCAACUGUCGAUGGUAGUUUAUGUGACUACCAUGGUUGUAACGGGUAACGGAGAAUAAGGGUUCGACUCCGGAGAGGGAGCCUGAGAAACGGCUACCACAUCCAAGGAAGGCAGCAGGCGCGUAAAUUACCCACUCUCAAUUCGAGGAGGUAGUGACUAUCAAUAACGAGACCAGUCUCAAUGAGGUUGGUUAUCGGAAUGGGUACAAUUUAAACCCUUUAACGAGGAUCUAUGAGAGGGCAAGUCUGGUGCCAGCAGCCGCGGUAAUUCCAGCUCUCAAGGUGUAUAUCGUCAUUGCUGCGGUUAAAAAGCUCGUAGUUGGAUCUGAGUCAGUGAACCUGGUGCACCUAGUGUGUAACUAGGAUUCUUGACUAAACAGUUGGUUUUCUGUGCGUUGUCUUUAUCGGCAGCGUACGGUGACUGGCAUGUUUACCUUGAAUAAAUUAGAGUGCUCAAGACGGGCGUUUCGCUUG
rnacentral:rRNA from 1 species